AACGAACGCUGGCGGCAUGCCUAACACAUGCAAGUCGAACGAGACCUUCGGGUCUAGUGGCGCACGGGUGCGUAACGCGUGGGAACCUGCCCUUAGGUUCGGAAUAACUCCCCGAAAGGGGUGCUAAUACCGGAUAAUGUCUUCGGACCAAAGAUUUAUCGCCUUUGGAUGGGCCCGCGUUGGAUUAGCUAGUUGGUAGGGUAAAAGCCUACCAAGGCGACGAUCCAUAGCUGGUCUGAGAGGAUGAUCAGCCACACUGGGACUGAGACACGGCCCAGACUCCUACGGGAGGCAGCAGUGGGGAAUAUUGGACAAUGGGCGAAAGGCUGAUCCAGCAAUGCCGCGUGAGUGAUGAAGGCCGUAGGGUUGUAAAGCUCUUUUACCCGGGAUGAUAAUGACAGUACCGGGAGAAUAAGCUCCGGCUAACUCCGUG
rnacentral:rRNA from 1 species